GAUGAACGCUGGCGGCGUGCCUAACACAUGCAAGUCGAGCGUGAACCCUGCGAAUGAAACUUCGGUCGAUUUUGCAGGGGGAAAGCGGCGGACGGGUGAGUAACGCGUAGGUAACCUGCCCCAUACUGAGGGAUAGCCUCGGGAAACCGGGAUUAAUACCUCAUAACACCGUAUAUUCGCAUGGAUGUGCGGUCAAAGAUUUAUCGGUAUGGGAUGGGCCUGCGUCUGAUUAGCUGGUUGGUGGGGUAACGGCCUACCAAGGCGACGAUCAGUAGCCGACCUGAGAGGGUGAUCGGCCACAUUGGAACUGAGACACGGUCCAAACUCCUACGGGAGGCAGCAGUGGGGAAUAUUGCACAAUGGGCGAAAGCCUGAUGCAGCAACGCCGCGUGAGCGAAGAAGGCCUUUGGGUCGUAAAGCUCUGUCGGGUAGGAAGAUAAUGACGGUACUACCCGAGGAAGCCCCGGCUAACUACGUGCCAGCAGCCGCGGUAAUAGUC
rnacentral:rRNA from 1 species